UGAGGAAUAUUGGUCAAUGGACGAGAGUCUGAACCAGCCAAGUAGCGUGCAGGAAGACGGCCCUAUGGGUUGUAAACUGCUUUUAUAAGGGAAUAAAGUUAGUCUCGUGAGACUUUUUGCAUGUACCUUAUGAAUAAGGACCGGCUAAUUCCGUGCCAGCAGCCGCGGUAAUACGGAAGGUCCGGGCGUUAUCCGGAUUUAUUGGGUUUAAAGGGAGCGUAGGCCGGAGAUUAAGCGUGUUGUGAAAUGUAGACGCUCAACGUCUGCACUGCAGCGCGAACUGGUUUCCUUGAGUACGCACAAAGUGGGCGGAAUUCGUGGUGUAGCGGUGAAAUGCUUAGAUAUCACGAAGAACUCCGAUUGCGAAGGCAGCUCACUGGAGCGCAACUGACGCUGAAGCUCGAAAGUGCGGGUAUCGAACAGGAUUAGAUACCCUGGUAGUCCGCACGGUAAACGAUGGAUGCCCGCUGUUGGUCUGAAUAGGUCAGCGGCCAAGCGAAAGCAUUAAGCAUCCCACCUGGGGAGUACGCCGGCAACGGUGAAACUCAAAGGAAUUGACGGGGGCCCGCACAAGCGGAGGAACAUGUGGUUUAAUUCGAUGAUACGCGAGGAACCUUACCCGGGCUUGAAUUGCAGAGGAAGGAUUUGGAGACAAUGACGCCCUUCGGGGUCUCUGUGAAGGUGCUGCAUGGUUGUCGUCAGCUCGUGCCGUGAGGUGUCGGCUUAAGUGCCAUAACGAGCGCAACCCCUCUCCUUAGUUGCCAUCAGGUCAAGCUGGGCACUCUGGGGACACUGCCACCGUAAGGUGUGAGGAAGGUGGGGAUGACGUCAAAUCAGCACGGCCCUUACGUCCGGGGCUACACACGUGUUACAAUGGCAGGUACAGAGAGACGGUCCCUUGCAAAACGGAUCAAAUCCUUAAAGCCUGUCUCAGUUCGGACUGGGGUCUGCAACCCGACCCCACGAAGCUGGAUUCGCUAGUAAUCGCGCAUCAGCCAUGGCGCGGUGAAUACGUUCCC
rnacentral:rRNA from 1 species